GUCUGCUUCAUAGAAGGUGGAUACAGAUACUUUUUCCUGGUGGAUACUUUUCCUGUACCCUUCCCCUUAACAGAAAAUCAAGACAGGAUGAGCAUAAUGAUGUCUGCUAGCCCUAAGAAACCCAGUCAAUCUUAUGAAGAAAUAUUCCCUCCAUUUUCAGACGUCAGAUGCCAAACCUCAGUUGCGUUUCUCCCUUCCAAUACUACUACAGCCUCGUUUCUGCUCAUCUCACACCAGCUACUUUUCAUCCAAAGUUCAGUCUCAAACUGUCUCACUGUGUCAGAUGUGUCAGAUUGUCCCCAACUACAUCUCAGACCGCUUGUUCUUUUUCUGCUCCCUUUGACUCACUCCCCCCAAAAUAUUAAGUAGAUGAGAGCAACUGAAGCUUCAGAAAAAUCACUGAGGUAAUUUUAUAUAGGUCAGAAAUUGAUUUUUAAGGUCAACCACGGACAAUCUCCAAACCUCUGUUAUCAUAACAAUCCUGUUACAGAAAUUCUCUGUGCAUGUGUUUAAGCAAUGUUUAAAAGAAGUUAUAAUAUUUUGUGAUUCAUACUAGUUUCAAACAAGAAGAGGUCAUAAUAGCGGAUACCAUAACCUGCCAUGUAACGUAAACCACUUAUUCAACAGGUGCAGAUGUGAUUGAAGAUUCUGAAAUCAUAAACACUAUCAUGUAUAUCCCAAAGGAUAUAUAAAAUCCAUUCAUAUAUAGAAAAAAUAUUAUGUGAACAUAUACACACAAAAUACGUACACAGAGUGCCAGCAAAAAAUUUCAGUCUGUAAACCAAGGGCUUCGGAAUAAGUAAUUAUCUGGUGAGAACCACAGGAAGACAUUUGGGGACAAUGAACACAGUUAUUUAGUGCUUGUAUUUUUUUGAACUACUGUAUUUAUAUUUGAUUUUCUUGUAUUUUAUUUUCCAUAAAGAUUGUGAAAAUGGUAAAUAGUUUUAACUAAUGUUUUAAGAGAUGAUGUAAAUAGAUUUUCAGCUUAUUUUACCAUAUGUUAAAGAUGACAGAAGAUGAUACAACAAGCAAUAAGAUUCAUUCACAAGGAGAAAGUCCAAGAAUGCAUGUGUUUUUAUGUUUUGAGGCUAGGAAAUGAUUUUGGCUCUCUCCCAGAAUGAACUGUUUAAUCAGAAAACAUGUUGUAGUGAAUUAACUAGUAGUGGCUUAUAGCAAAUCUCACUGACUCUUUCCAUGAUCAAAAUUCUCAUUUAAGGGACAGAGGUUCAUUCAUUUCAUUCACAGAAAUAUGCACAUGCAAUUGUGAUCAACAAGGUUAAGCAACAGCAUGACAGAGGCCAAGUCAGUCUUAGGCAGACAUAAUCAUGAAGAAAAG
rnacentral:lncRNA from 1 species